UGGGGAAUUUUGGACAAUGGGGGAAACCCUGAUCCAGCCAUCCCGCGUGUGCGAUGAAGGCCUUCGGGUUGUAAAGCACUUUUGGCAGGAAAGAAACGUCAUGGGUUAAUACCCCGUGAAACUGACGGUACCUGCAGAAUAAGCACCGGCUAACUACGUGCCAGCAGCCGCGGUAAUACGUAGGGUGCAAGCGUUAAUCGGAAUUACUGGGCGUAAAGCGUGCGCAGGCGGUUCGGAAAGAAAGAUGUGAAAUCCCAGAGCUCAACUUUGGAACUGCAUUUUUAACUGCCGGGCUAGAGUGUGUCAGAGGGGGGUGGAAUUCCGAGUGUAGCAGUGGAAUGCGUAGAUAUGCGGAGGAACACCGAUGGCGAAGGCAGCCUCCUGGGAUAACACUGACGCUCAUGCACGAAAGCGUGGGGAGCAAACAGG
rnacentral:rRNA from 1 species